CGAGCGGUAGCACGGGAGAGCUUGCUCUCUGGGUGACGAGCGGCGGACGGGUGAGUAAUGUCUGGGGAUCUGCCUGAUGGAGGGGGAUAACUACUGGAAACGGUAGCUAAUACCGCAUAACGUCGCAAGACCAAAGAGGGGGACCUUCGGGCCUCUUGCCAUCAGAUGAACCCAGAUGGGAUUAGCUAGUAGGUGGGGUAACGGCUCACCUAGGCGACGAUCCCUAGCUGGUCUGAGAGGAUGACCAGCCACACUGGAACUGAGACACGGUCCAGACUCCUACGGGAGGCAGCAGUGGGGAAUAUUGCACAAUGGGCGCAAGCCUGAUGCAGCCAUGCCGCGUGUAUGAAGAAGGCCUUCGGGUUGUAAAGUACUUUCAGCGAGGAGGAAGGCAUUAAGGUUAAUAACCUUGGUGAUUGACGUUACUCGCAGAAGAAGCACCGGCUAACUCCGUGCCAGCAGCCGCGGUAAUACGGAGGGUGCAAGCGUUAAUCGGAAUUACUGGGCGUAAAGCGCACGCAGGCGGUUUGUUAAGUCGGAUGUGAAAUCCCCGGGCUCAACCUGGGAACUGCAUUCGAAACUGGCAAGCUUGAGUCUUGUAGAGGGGGGUAGAAUUCCAGGUGUAGCGGUGAAAUGCGUAGAGAUCUGGAGGAAUACCGGUGGCGAAGGCGGCCCCCUGGACAAAGACUGACGCUCAGGUGCGAAAGCGUGGGGAGCAAACAGGAUUAGAUACCCUGGUAGUCCACGCCGUAAACGAUGUCGACUUUGGAGGUUGUGCCCUUUGAGGCGUGGCUUCCGGAGCUAACGCGUUAAGUCGACCGCCUGGGGGAGUACGGGCCGCAAGGUUAAAACUCAAAUUGAUUUGACGGGGGCCCGCACAAGCGGUGGGAGCAUGUGGGUUUAAUUCCAAUGCAACGCCGAAGAACCU
rnacentral:rRNA from 1 species